CAGCCGCCGCGGUAAUACCGGCGGCCCGAGUGGCGGCCACUAUUAUUGGGCUUAAAGCGUCCGUAGCCGGGUUGGUUAGUCUCCCGGGAAAUCUGGCCGCUUAACGGUCAGAAUUCCGGGAGAUACUGCCAGCCUAGGGACCGGGAGAGGCCGAGGGUAUUCCCGGAGUAGGGGUGAAAUCCUAUAAUCCCGGGAGGACCACCUGUGGCGAAGGCGCUCGGCUGGAACGGGUCCGACGGGGAGGGACGAAGGCCAGGGGAGCAAACCGGAUUAGAUACCCGGGUAGUCCCGGCUGUAAACGAUGCGGGCUAGGUGUUGGGUGGGCUUAGAGCCCACCCAGUGCCGCAGGGAAGCCGUUAAGCCCGCCGCCUGGGGAGUACGGCCGCAAGGCUGAAACUUAAAGGAAUUGGCGGG
rnacentral:rRNA from 1 species